rnacentral:rRNA from 1 species
AUUGAACGCUGGCGGCAGGCCUAACACAUGCAAGUCGAGCGGAGCGGCGGACGGGUGAGUAAUGCCUAGGAAUCUGCCUGGUAGUGGGGGAUAACGUCCGGAAACGGGCGCUAAUACCGCAUACUAUCAGAUGAGCCUAGGUCGGAUUAGCUAGUUGGUGGGGUAAAGGCCUACCAAGGCGACGAUCCGUAACUGGUCUGAGAGGAUGAUCAGUCAAACUGGAACGUAGACACGGCCCAGACUUCGACGGGAGGCAGCAGGGGGGAAUAUUGGACAAAGGGCGAAAGCCUGAACCAGCCAGGACGCGUGAGAGAAGAAGGUCUUCGGAUUGUAAAGCACUAUAAGUUGGGAGGCGUUACCACCAGAAUAAGCACCGGCUAAUUCCGUGCCAGCAGCCGCGGUAAUAC